UACCAGCACCCCGAGUGGUCGGGACGAUUAUUGGGCCUAAAGCAUCCGUAGCCGGUCCUACAAGUCUUCCGUUAAAUCCACCUGCUUAACAGAUGGGCUGCGGAAGAUACUAUAAGACUAGGAGGCAGGAGAGGCAAGCGGUACUCAGUGGGUAGGGGUAAAAUCCGUUGAUCCAUUGAAGACCACCAGUGGCGAAGGCGGCUUGCCAGAAUGCGCUCGACGGUGAGGGAUGAAAGCUGGGGGAGCAAACCGG
rnacentral:rRNA from 1 species